GCUCCUUUAAUGUCCACAUGGUGGCACUGCAUCUUUAAAGACUGUUUGCAAGUUGCUAACAGACACAGAAAAUCAUCAUUUGGUGAGUGUAACUCCCUCCUCUCCUGCAUCCUGAAUGGAGUGUGCUUUGCAUAUUACUGCGAGCUAAAUAGAGAAUCAAGGUCUUCACUCUGCCUCUUGAAAGAAAGGAGCUAACCUGUCGCCUAGCAACACCUCCCACUCCUGCUGAAGCCAGAGGAAGAGAAGAGAGGAAGAGGAAGGAUUGAAGCUGCCUAUGAAACCAAUAAUAAGACCGAAGUAAAUAGUGUAGCCUUUCAAGUCAAGAGCAUCAUGCCAAAGUGUUGCUGAUGCAAGGUUGCCAUGGUGACGUGAUGUAGAUGUGUGACAUCAAAACAGACCUCAAGCAGCAGAUUUUUUUUUCCCCUUUCAGUCUGUCGCUCGCUCUCUAUUCUCCCAUCUCAUUUCAUAUUAAGCCAAAGGCACUGUAUUACAAAACAACUCCAUGAGCUUCUGAUGUAAACCAACCUCACACAUGUAAGAAAGAUAUCCUUUUAACUGCAAAUCCUGCAAUUUCUCUUAAAAUAAUGCAGCUCUUAGUGACCAUAAGAGAUCCAUUAUCCAUCUCCGCCAUUCAGCUCUGCCUUUGAUAGUAGCCAUCAAUGAUUCAGUGUGUGCGUCUUUGCCCAUCUCUGUGCACUUCGAUCUGAACGCAAUGUCAAUGUGUAGUGCAACCAUAGUCUUUGUAUCAAUAUUUGUAGUGCCCAGGUUUGUUCUUUGUCCUUCUCAUCUGUAGUUGUGUAUUUGUUGUUGUGGU